rnacentral:rRNA from 1 species
AGUGAACGCUGGCGGUAGGCCUAACACACGCAAGUCGAACGGCAGCACAGUAAGAGCUUGCUCUUACGGGUGGCGAGUGGCGGACGGGUGAGGAAUACAUCGGAAUCUACUUUUUCGUGGGGGAUAACGUAGGGAAACUUACGCCAAUACCGCAUACGACCUAAGGGUGAAAGCAGGGGAUCUUCGGACCUUGCGCGAUUGAAUGAGCCGAUGUCGGAUUAGCUAGUUGGCGGGGUAAAGGCCCACCAAGGCGACGAUCCGUAGCUGGUCUGAGAGGAUGAUCAGCCACACUGGAACUGAGACACGGUCCAGACUCCUACGGGAGGCAGCAGUGGGGAAUAUUGGACAAAGGGCGCAAGCCUGAUCCAGCCAUACCGCGUGGGUGAAGAAGGCCUUCGGGUUGUAAAGCCCUUUUGUUGGGAAAGAAAAGCAGCAGGUUAAUACCCCGCUGUUCUGACGGUACCCAAAGAAUAAGCACCGGCUAACUUCGUG